rnacentral:rRNA from 1 species
GGACCGGAGUGGACGAACCUCUGGUGUUCGGGUUGUCAUGCCAAUGGCAUUGCCCGGUAGCUAAGUUCGGAAUCGAUAACCGCUGAAAGCAUCUAAGCGGGAAGCGAGCCUUGAGAUGAGUUUUCCCUGGCACUAUAAGUGUCCUAAAGGGUUGUCGUAGACUACGACGUUGAUAGGCAGGGUGUGUAAGUGCUGCGAGGCAUUGAGCUAACCUGUACUAAUUGCCCGUGAGGCUUAACCAUACAACACCCAAGGGGUUU